rnacentral:tRNA from 4 species
UCCGGCGUAGCUCAGCGGUAGAGCCCCCGACUGUUAAUCGGGUUGCCGUAGGUUCGAAUCCUACCGCCGGAGCCA